rnacentral:rRNA from 1 species
ACGUAGGGUCCAAGCGUUAUCCGGAAUUACUGGGCGUAAAGAGUUGCGUAGGUGGCAUAGAAAGCGGACAGUGAAAGCGUGUGGCUCAACCAUACAUCCAUUGUCUGAACUCCUAAGCUAGAGAACGAGAGAGGUAGAUGGAAUUCCUGAUGUAGGGGUAAUAUCCGUAGAUAUCAGGAGGAACACCGAUGGCGUAAGCAGUCUACUGGCUCGUUUCUGACACUAAGGCACGAAAGCGUGGGGAGCAAACAGGA